rnacentral:lncRNA from 1 species
GUGUCUGCGUUUGCGUGUUUAUGCAUGCUUUCCCUAUCGUCAGACAAGGGUCACACUUCAGCUGGGGAGGUCUUGAUUAUGGCUCAGUCUAAAAAAAAAAGAGAGGCUUUGUAUAAUUAAGUGUUGAUUAUUGCAAAGAGAGUACAGAGAAGAUGGGGUCAAAGAGUAGACAUAGCUUCUCAAUACCUGUGUGUUUUUUUUUUAAAUAUAUAUUUUGGCUAAUUAUGUUUGUAUUCUUGAAUCUGUUUAGUUACACUUCUAGUUCUGUUCUUUUGUUUCUCUUAACAACACAGAAGGUGUGGCUAAUAAGAUUGUAAUGUAACAUCCUUUCUUCUAAUGAAUGCUAUAUGUAUAAAUAGUGUUAUCACCUUCCUUUAUUUACUUCGACCACGUGGUAUUGACUAUAGUUCAGGUCGGUCAACAGUGUUCUGCACCUUUUGUUCACCUUCUUCCCACAAGUGUCCUUCACUUUUUGAAUAUAAACAAAAAAAAACAAAAACUAGUUUUCUUUAUGUGGAGUUGGAAAGAGAUAAGAUCGAAGAGAAAAAGAAGAGGAUUCGUCAACUUUUCUCCCAACAUUUUGAACAAUUAGUGGUUAUGUUUAGUUUUCAAUUGAUAGCUACUAACUUGAUUACGUGGAUCACACUUCUCUUGUUAUUAUUAUCAUCAUCUCUUAACCAUAUUCCAUGUUAUAUAGUUUAUUGAUUUAGUAUCUGUCACGAGUACUAUAGUACAUUACAUUUGUGGAUGUCUUACUUAUAGUCUUCUGUAUAUUAUAUUAAAAUGUGUUACUCAUAGUCAUCUGUGUAUUAUAUUAAAAUGUGUACUUGUUUUUCUAAUUGCUUCCCCAUUAUUUCUAUAUUGGACAACAAAAGAAAAUUAAAACCUAUGAAACAUUUUAAAAUUAGAGAGAAAAAGAAGAAACAUUUUAGAUAAUUUACUUAAGAAUACUUUUUUAUUGGAUGUCCUUUUUGAAGGCUUGUUACUUUCAAUCUCGCUAGUCUAUUAGAUAAGUGUAGAAGAUAGCAGACAUUCAUUAUAUAUCCAGAAGAAAAAAAUUAGCAUAUAGAUUGCAUUAUUUUCUAGUGUAGGGACUUAGAUAAUUAUGUUCAUUUUAGAGUUUCGUUAACUCACGCAAUCUCAAUUGAUUGGCAUACUGUUUUCCAUCGAGACAUAGAUGUUGUUAUCUUAUCUAUCCGUAUGUUCUACCAGCUUAAACGAAGCUAUCAAGUAUUUAAACUUCGGGUCAGAAGUAGAAAUUGAAAAAGGUAUAAAGUUGAACUACUCCACUAGCUUGGAAGUAUAUGCAUGAAAAUUUACUAUAACAUAAGAAUGUAUAAUUAUUAUAAUAAUGUCUUCUACACCAAUGUGAUAAGUUCCUAAUAGUUUCAGACUAUAAGAAAAUCAUGAGCCGUACAGCUAUUACUAGAUUCUGGACAAAGUAGAAUCCAACAGUUUAGAAUAGAUUGUACUUCACAAAAAACCACUCACUAGAUGAUAAAAACUCAUUUCUGUAGCUUUUAUUUUACAUUAUCAAUGUUUUGGAUCACGUAGAAAACGCUCGCUGACCCUACGAUUAGAUUAUAAGUGGUGGCAAUUUUCUGAAUCAUACGGUCUAAGAUUUGUCAUGUGGGUAAACCAGUAAAAGACAAAAGUGUGUGCAACGUCACCUAGAAAUAUUUGUCCGAGAAGAGCUUUUUUUCAAAAUCCAACGGCUCAGACCAGAAUCUACACCAAUCUCCAGUUCGGUUCUGUCUCCUCCGUGUCCGUUGAUCUUACUGCCUCUUCACCUUUAGCCACGUAAUUUUUUAGACAGAAUUCUUAUUUGACUAAUUAUUUAUUUUACUGUCUGUUAUGCUACUAUUUAUUUACUAAUUCAUCCAAAGUCAGUCAAUUCAGUUGAACUUUCAAGUUACAAUAGGUUGUUAUCUACAUGUAAGAUCAUCUCUACAAUAGAAACUAAUAUUUGUAAUGUAACUAUUUUUAAAUAUAAAUUUUAUAUUUUAUAUAGAAAUGUAGAAGAAUGUUAUCUCUUUUUUGAAAUAAAAAUAUAUUUAAAAAUAAAAGUGGAUUAGGAAAUAAACUCUUCUAUAAUAACAUUUAGAAUCAAAUAUAAAAGUUGUUUGAAAGCACAUUUAUAUAAACAGAGUACACUUAUCAAAAACUCAACAUAAACUUAACAUUAUGAGUAAUGUAAACUAUGAUAAAUUUUGAUAGGAAAAAUAUCCCACAUUGGGAAGUGAUGUAGGACCGAAGAAUAUAGUCGGCUUGAUCUUUUUAAAGCGCAAACGACAAAAUAAAAUUUGUGCCGAACAAAAUUAUUUGCAAGCAAUGAUUCAAUUGUUCAACUUCAAUAAUACUACUUUUCUUAAGCUCCUUUACUUCUAGGGUCUCUGCAGACACACACAUGUGCACCUUAACUUAUACGUGUGCCUCUAAUGGAACAAAAGAAGCAAUUAGAUACACUGAUUUGUCAAAUAGAUAAUACAGCCAAGAAAAGUAUUAACUAAAGAUAACUACAAAAAUUAAAAGAGGUUAUUAAAUGAUUUUCAUGUGAGUUAUUAUAAACCUCAAAUCCUCGUGACCGACUUCAAACUCAAAACACAAGUAACCCUUAAUUUCUAUCGUUUUCAGCUGUAGCAGCCACUAACUUAAAUCAUCUCUUCUCUUCUUAGUCUUUUCAAUCAAAACCACAAGAACUUUGAAUCCAGUAAGCACGCUAGAAAGAAACUCAUGGUGACUUAUCUCUUCUUCUUAUUAUCUAUUUUCCUCUUUAAAAUAUUCUAUGCAGAUUCUUUAUAUUUGCUACCGUUUGAAUUGGUCUUAAAACUCUCCAGGGACCAAUGAUGAGAGCAGAAGAAGAAAGUCCACCACCAUGGCUAAUCCCAUUGCUAAGAGCAAACUACUUCGUCCCAUGUUCGAUCCACGCUGAUUCCAACAAAAGCGAAUGCAACAUGUUCUGUCUUGACUGCACUUCUAGUUCCUUUUGCUCUUACUGUUUGACCAAUCACAAAAACCAUCGUGUCCUUCAGGUUUGUUCUUCACCAUAUCUCAAUUUGUUUUUCUCUUAAAUUCACAAAAAAACAUAAUAAUAAAAUCGAAUGUUUAUCCUUAGAUACGAAGAUCAUCGUACCACAACGUUGUGAGGGUGAAUGAGAUUCAGAAGUACAUAGACAUCUCUUGUGUCCAGACAUAUAUAAUCAACAGCGCAAGGAUCGUGUUCUUGAACGAACGUCCUCAGCCAAGAAUCGGCAAAGGCGUUACCAAUACUUGCGAAAUAUGUUGCAGAAGCCUCCUUGAUUCUUUCCGUUUCUGCUCUCUUGGUUGCAAAGUAAAUACAAAUCUCUUUUCUCAUUCCACUUCAAGGAAGAUCUCUUCCUCUAUUUUUGUUUUUGAUUUAAAUAAACGUAUAAAUUAUUGUGUAAAGUUUUAAAUUUUAUUCUAAUCUUAAAUUUAAAAUUCGCCAUUUCAAAAGAACAGUUGAAACUACUAAUUUUUUAAACUAUAUUAUUAUUAUUUUUUAAAUGUCAGUUAAUAUUUUUUUUUAAAUAGAGCGUACAAAUAAAUUGAUAUGUCACUGACCAUGUUGAUCUUGUUUUGGGUGAUUCAGCUUGGAGGGAUGAAAAGAGGAAAUCAAAGUCUAACCUUCUCUUUGAAAGGGAAGCAUGGGAGGGAGUAUCAAGCUGGGGAGGACUCUGAUGAGGCGACCACACCAACUAAGAUACGCAAGACAUGUGCUUU